rnacentral:rRNA from 1 species
GAUGAACGCUGGCGGCGUGCCUAAUACAUGCAAGUCGAGCGAACGGACGAGAAGCUUGCUUCUCUGAUGUUAUCGGCGGGCGGGUGAGUAACACGUGGAUAACCUACCUAUAAGACUGGGAUAACUUCGGGAAACCGGAGCUAAUACCGGAUAAUAUUUUGAACCGCAUGGUUCAAAAGUGAAAGACGGUCUUGCUGUCACUUAUAGAUGGAUCCGCGCUGCAUUAGCUAGUUGGUAAGGUAACGGCUUACCAAGGCAACGAUGCAUAGCCGACCUGAGAGGGUGAUCGGCCACACUGGAACUGAGACACGGUCCAGACUCCUACGGGAGGCAGCAGUAGGGAAUCUUCCGCAAUGGGCGAAAGCCUGACGGAGCAACGCCGCGUGAGUGAUGAAGGUCUUCGGAUCGUAAAACUCUGUUAUUAGGGAAGAACAUAUGUGUAAGUAACUGUGCACAUCUUGACGGUACCUAAUCAGAAAGCCACGGCUAACUACGUG